CGGGGUCACAGAACUGGGGUGAGGUUUCCUCACGGGCUGCUGUGCUCCAACCCUGCUGCACUGUGAUGGGAGAAAAGCACUGCAAGAAGAGGUGGAAAAUUACCUGCAAGUCAUUUGGUUUUUGUUUAGCCUUCAGCUGAGGAGCAGCUCGUUGAAGCAGCACCAGGACACCGGUGUCACACUGCUGAGAAGAGCCCAUGGGAGAAGAAGCCCUGAUGCAAGCCUUGACUUGAUUUUUAUUCCAUUUGAUGUAGAAAUUGACCAAUACUACAACAGUUGCAGUGAGAGGAGAUCGUGACACCUCCACGCAUCCCUUCCCCUGUGUCAGACCUUCAGAGUCCCUCACCAGCUGACAGUGGCUUCAGGCACAGCUUUACCAUUUUGGCUCUGGAUGUGUUUUAAUAUCAGUCUGGGGAGGGCAGUGGAUGUAAAAUUCCCCUUAAAAAGCAGUGAUAGGUAAUUAUUUUCUGUUUCUGCAGAGGAGGAUGUACAUGUAGAUACUGUAGUUUUCCUUUUGGUGAGUAUGACUAACACUAACCCAUGCAGGAGGGCAUCUGUGCCUUCUCAUUAACUGGAGGGGCAGAGCAAAGGGGAGCUGCACUCAUGCAGAUACAGCCUGUAAAGCUGUGUAGUGCAGUAACAUCUUUUGCACUAAAAUUUUCAGAGAGGCUUAAAUUGUCAUGGUGAAAGGUAGAAGGUCCCAGGAGCUUGUUUUGUGCCUCUUCUCCUUGGGCACAGCUUAAAGGCUCCUGGUAAGGAGCAGCGCUGGUGCUGUCAGUGCCUGGGAGCUGGCUAUGCUUCUCCAGAAGAAACACCCAUCUGCCAGCUGCUAGUCCCAGGGCUCAAACAGCUCUCACAAUGGUCUGACAUGAGGCUAAGCCUCUUAUCUUAUGUGUUGUAACCAUGCAGCUGGAAGCAAACUUAUAUAUGCAAAUUGUACAUCAGUAAAUAGUGACAAACAUGACCUGAUUCCUCUGGCAUUACGUGUUUAUAUUGGUAUCUUUUGUGCUUUGGAAAUACAAAAUGGGUAUGGGAAAAUAAAUUAGAGAGUGUUGGGAGUUUUGUCACCAGAGGUACUUAUCUUUUUUUUUUUUUUUUUAAAGGAAGGAAAUCUCAGUUGUGCUGCAAGUUGAGAGACACUAGCCUCAGAAAGCCACUCGAUGUUUUUGGCUUGCUUCUUGCAGUCUUUACUGCUGCAGUACCACUCAAACAAGGAUAAAACUCAUGAGUGCCUGGUUCAGCAAGUCACUGCCUAGCUUCCUCUGUGGGCCUCCGUGUACCACUCUGCCCAUUUGUCUCAAAGCACCUGAUGACACACAGACCUGGGGUUACAGACAGACCCUUACUGGUACUCUUGCUAUUAGGCCAAAGGCAUUUAUGGCCCCAAACAUCUGACACAUUGGUUAAAACAGGCAUUCCUCAUGUCCAAGCUAUGCUGCAACAAAACUAUUGCAGUCCAUUUGCCUUAAUCGAGGUCCCUUCCAACCCAAGCCAUUCUAUGUUUCCGUAAUUCUACAACCACCUUUCCACCAUAGAUAAAAUAAUGCUAUAGCAUAGCAGGCUGCAGAUAUGCUUUGCACUGGAUUGUAGAAUGGAAAUAUAUUGCAGAUGGUAUUUACUUAAAAGACAAGUAAAUUUUUAUUUUUGUCUCUGCAAGGAGUAAAACUAAUUAAAAACUAGGCAGAAUGUUUUCUUCUUCACUUGAACAUUACAAUAAGUGGUAACAUCUGCGUUGCACAAUUUAUUAUUUGUGUGUGCAAUGUUGUAAAAUAUACUUUCCCAACAUUAUAAGCUGGUGUACUAAUUUACAUUAAAAUGCUAAUUUAAUUUGGAGUAGAAGAGCUCAGUAUCAUUACUUUUUUUCAAAGUAUUUUUCUCAUCCCAUUCCAAAACUCCAGGGAAACUGUUCUAGAAUGACUUUGGGGAGUCCUCUCACCACAUACAAUGGUCUGUUAAUUACAGGAUGCAACUUCAGCUGAACUCAACACUGGGACACUGAAACUGGAAAAAUGCCCUAUACCUCCAUUCCCACUGCAAGGCUGGGUGUCAGAGUGGCACGUCAGAUCACAGGAAGGUAUGGGACACCCCUGCCUUUGUGUUUCCUACCCACAGACAACCAUGAUCACUAGAGAAAUAUUAAACUGAGACUCAUCAC